UAAAGCAAAACGCUGAAUUCCCGUAAGGGAAACGGGGGAACCAGAAGAACCGAUAGGAUACAGCAUCGGUUUCUCGGGGUGAAUCUUUAGCAAGCGCAGCUUGCUAGGGUAGGGCACUUCCAAGCCCGAAUCCGACAGCUAACCUCGUAGGCGCAUUGGGAGAGAACGA
rnacentral:sRNA from 2 species